AAAAAAUACCAUUUUAGAGCAAAACUGUCUCUUGGGUGGCUUGCCCAUGUCCAGGUGUUUGCUGUGAAGAGACACAGUAGUUGGAAUCCUCAGCCUACACCGUCACUCCCUGCAACUCUCACCACCUGGUUCACCAUGGCUCACUCUAGGGGCCCUGAGUACACAUGCUGAGUCAGGCAAUGAUGAAGCCACGAGGCCAGAAAAAGAUUCUGACUAUCUGGGAAAUUACAGAGCCAUUCAUUUCUCCAGCACAAUGUUUACCCAUGUGUUGAGAUUUCUUGGAAAUAAAAAAAAAGACAAUUGAUGAAGGACUUGUCACUGGGCUUAGCCUUGCCGCUAUGCUAAAUUUAAACUCUCUUUGUCUUAUAGUAGAGAAGUUUCCUUUGAAAUAUCGUUCAUCUGUAUGAAUAUCACAUAAUAGUGUUUAUUUUUGCUUACUUUUUUCCAUACGAGUAAUACACAGACACAGCAAAAUGAAUUCCCAGAUUGACCAAUAAGAAGUGAGGCAGAAAGAAAGUCUUCCUUUAUUAACUUCUGUACUCCUACUUCUCUCCUUGGAGGGGGUAAUGUUGGGCUAAAGACCAUUCCUGGUGACUAAAUUUGAAGCCAGCGUUCAACAUGUUCUGAUUGAAGUUUUAUUUCUGUGGUCAAAACUAAAAGGAUCCAUUCCUCCCUUAAUGCUAGAGACACUUAGGAAAAAAAAAAGAGAGAAGAGCUUUGAAUUCAAGUGUAACUGAAAUGAUAUUAUCAAGAAGAGCUUGACAAAAGCUUCUGCUCCAGACAGCACUCAGCAGAGACAAUGGAUUAUUCUAUUACAGACACAGGAAGCCACGGACAAAAAGAGGAAAAGAUUCAAUGGAAGAGAGAUGAUGUCCUUCAUGAUGCAAACAUCACCUAACAUUAAAUAUUUCCACAGGAUUUUAUUUCUGCUUAAAAUCUAAUUUCCUCUUGGGUUCAUGGCCUUAAGCUGGCAAAAUCCCCUCCUAAAACACUGCCAACGUCAUAUUCCUGCAGUGCCAGUGUCUCAUGGGUCACAGAGCCCUCCUCCAUGGCCUGCCUAACUGGCACUCUUCCAUCAGAGCGCCAGCCUGUGGGAACAGGUGACUCCCCAGUGGCCUCACUCACAAAGCUCAUGGAGAAACACAAUGGGUGGAGGCCAUUUUUUUUUUCUCUGCCCCCUCUACAAUCACGUACAAAAGCACCUUCUAGGAUCACCCUUCAAACUUCCAAAGAUCUCCC
rnacentral:lncRNA from 10 species